ensembl:snRNA U6 U6 spliceosomal RNA
GUGCUUGCUGCAGCAGCACAUGAAUACAUAUUAGACCACUGCAGAGAAGAGUAGCAUGACCCCAAGUACAGGGAUGACAUGCAAAUUCAUGAAGCAUUCCAUAUUUGA